rnacentral:rRNA from 1 species
GAUGAACGCUGGCGGCGUGCUUAACACAUGCAAGUCGAACGGUGAACGAGGGAGCUUGCUCCCUCCGGAUCAGUGGCGAACGGGUGAGUAACACGUGAGCAAUCUGCCCUGGACUCUGGGAUAAGCGUUGGAAACGACGUCUAAUACCGGAUACGAGACGCGAAGGCAUCUUCAGCGUCUGGAAAGAACUUCGGUCCAGGAUGAGCUCGCGGCCUAUCAGGUAGUUGGUGAGGUAACGGCUCACCAAGCCUACGACGGGUAGCCGGCCUGAGAGGGUGACCGGCCAGACUGGGACUGGGACACGGCCCAGACUCCUACGGGAGGCGGGAGUGGGGAAUAUUGCACAAUGGGCGCAAGCCUGAUGCAGCAACGCGGCGUGAGGGACGACGGCCUUCGGGUUGUAAACCUCUUUUAGCAGGGAAGAAGCGAAAGUGACGGUACCUGCAGAAAAAGCACCGGCUAACUACGUGCCAGCCGCCGCCGUAAAAC